rnacentral:rRNA from 1 species
AAAGGUGGUAAUGCCGGAUGCUCCGACUCCUCGCAUGGGGUGUCGGGAAAGAUUUCAUCGGUAUGGGAUGGGGUCGCGUCCUAUCAGGUAGUCGGCGGGGUAACGGCCCACCGAGCCUACGACGGGUAGCCGGCCUGAGAGGGCGACCGGCCACAUUGGGACUGAGAUACGGCCCAGACUCCUACGGGAGGCAGCAGUGGGGAAUAUUGCACAAUGGGCGCAAGCCUGAUGCAGCGACGCCGCGUGCGGGAUGACGGCCUUCGGGUUGUAAACCGCUUUUGAUCGGGAGCAAGCCUUCGGGUGAGUGUACCUUUCGAAUAAGCACCGGCUAACUACGUGCCAGCAGCCGCGGUAAUACGUAGGGUGCAAGCGUUAUCCGGAAUUAUUGGGCGUAAAGGGCUCGUAGGCGGUUCGUCGCGUCCGGUGUGAAAGUCCAUCGCUUAACGGUGGAUCUGCGCCGGGUACGGGCGGGCUGGAGUGCGGUAGGGGAGACUGGAAUUCCCGGUGUAACGGUGGAAUGUGUAGAUAUCGGAAAAAAACACCA